rnacentral:rRNA from 1 species
UACGGAGGAUGCAAGCGUUAUCCGGAAUGAUUGGGCGUAAAGCGUCCGCAGGUGGCAAUGUAAGUCUGCUGUCAAAGCGUCUGGCUCAACCAGAUAAAGGCAGUGGAAACUACAUAGCUAGAGUAAGGUAGGGGUAGAGGGAAUUCCUGGUGUAGCGGUGAAAUGCGUAGAGAUCAGGAAGAACACCGGUGGCGAAGGCGCUCUGCUGGGACUUAACUGACACUGAGAGACGAAAGCGAGGGGAGCGAAUGGG